rnacentral:rRNA from 1 species
AUUGAACGCUGGCGGCAGGCCUAACACAUGCAAGUCGAGCGGAAACGACACUAACAAUCCUUCGGGUGCGUUAAUGGGCGUCGAGCGGCGGACGGGUGAGUAAUGCCUAGGAAAUUGCCUUGAUGUGGGGGAUAACCAUUGGAAACGAUGGCUAAUACCGCAUAAUGCCUACGGGCCAAAGAGGGGGAYCUUCGGACCUCUCGCGUCAAGAUAUGCCUAGGUGGGAUUAGCUAGUUGGUGAGGUAAUGGCUCACCAAGGCGACGAUCCCUAGCUGGUCUGAGAGGAUGAUCAGCCACACUGGAACUGAGACACGGUCCAGACUCCUACGGGAGGCAGCAGUGGGGAAUAUUGCACAAUGGGCGAAAGCCUGAUGCAGCCAUGCCGCGUGUAUGAAGAAGGCCUUCGGGUUGUAAAGUACUUUCAGUUGUGAGGAAGGGGGUAACGUUAAUAGCGUUAUCUCUUGACGUUAGCAACAGAAGAAGCACCGGCUAACUCCGUGCCAGCAGCCGCGGUAAUACGGAGGGUGCGAGCGUUAAUCGGAAUUACUGGGCGUAAAGCGCAUGCAGGUGGUUCAUUAAGUCAGAUGUGAAAGCCCGGGGCUCAACCUCGGAACUGCAUUUGAAACUGGUGAACUAGAGUGCUGUAGAGGGGGGUAGAAUUUCAGGUGUAGCGGUGAAAUGCGUAGAGAUCUGAAGGAAUACCAGUGGCGAAGCGGCCCCCUGGACAGACACUGACACUCAGAUGCGAAAGCGUG